UCCAUAUGUGCAUAAAAUAUAACUCCCACCUGUGCAUGUGAUUGUAAACGAACGGAUGUCAUGUAAAUGUAUACCACAUUUGUAAACAUGGGCUCUCACAACUCUUUUAUACACGUAUCAACACUUAGCGAAAGUUACGUCCCUUGUCCGCCAUCUCCCGGAUAAAAAUCGUAUUUCCCCACGUUGGCCUUUGUAAUUUUCCUAUCUGUAGCUUUGACAUCUGUUAUUUUUCCAUCAAUUGCAGUCAACUACAAUAUGCCCCAGAUUGGGGCAACCCAUUAACUUGUAUGAAAACUUGGUAAUUGGCUAAAAUUCAAAGUAAUAACAUCUUACAUUUGGUAAGGUAAAGAAGGAAAACUGGGUUUUUCACCGAUUGACCUUUGGCUGACCCCGCAAAGGGACGUAACUUGCGGCGAAGUGUUGAUACAUGUAUUAAGAAAAUAAUAAUAUCGUUAUGAAAAUAACUGUUACCUUGAACUACAUGUAUAAAAGUAAUGAAAAACAAAUAUCUGUAUAGACCUACUAUCUAGGGGUAUGAGGGAACCGGACAAAAAGUGGAGGGGGGAUGUGUUGAAUUAUAAUUCCCUAGACUAUAGUAUACAUAUACUAUUACUUUGAAAUUUCAGUGACCUAAGAAAUAUAUCAAACCUGAAGUUUCGUGUUUCACACAAACAUGUAGGUUGGCAAAACCUUUUUAAAUAAUGUAAAUUAAUCACAAGUCUGCAUAUGCCCUCUCAUAGGCAAAUGUAUGCACUGUAUGUAUAAGUAAGAUAUGUAUACUACACGUAUGCCCUUCUCUUGACCCACAUUUUGUAAAUAAAACAGAUAUGAUAAGUCUAUGGCAGUUUAUGAAAACAUAUAUACAUGUCAUCUCAUUGCAAUUUAUAAUUUUGAAACAUCAGUAUUUAAAUUUUAACUGAAUAUGUGUUGAGACACAGUUUUAAAAUUCACAUUGUCUGACGCAAUCUAAUUACUCAAUGGUAUAAUAUAGACCUAACUGUGCAAAUAUCAAUUAUGAUGAUCUUUUUUCUAGGCAUCAGCCUGAAGACCGAGGGAGGUUAGAUAGGACCAGUGCAGGUUGAAGUGGAUUUCAAGUCAACAAGUAUAACAGCAAGAGAGGUACUCCAUUUACAGUGAUGAUGACAUAUCCCCUGGACCCCCACAACUCCACAAAUUUAAAAAUGUUUGAUCAAGUUCCAAAGAUUAAAGAACUACUGCAAAAUUUGGGACUGGAUGAAAAACAUUAAUUCACUUAUAUGAGCUCAGAGCAGUGGAUGUUAUACAACAUACUUUAAACUAAAUUGUGAAUUUAAGGGAAAACAAGUACAUGUCAUGUACUCGUAUAUUACAAGUACAUGCCUUUUGAAAGACAAUAAUAUUGCAUAGAUGUAAAGGAAAUUCAAUGUUGAUUAUUCUUUCUUAGAUAUAUUAGUAAAAAAUGUGCACAUGAUAGAAUAUCAAUUUUAUAACUUCAAUCAAUGUGUUUGAAUUUUCCUUGUAAUUCAAAAUUUAGUUGAAACAUACAUCAUAGAUACAUUAAUGUAUAUCAAAUUUUUAGAAAAGUUUCAUAAUGGAACUAAUUCACCCCACCCCUUAUACAUACAGUGAACAUAGACCUUCACCUGGGGAAAACUUCAGUUAGUUAAUGCAAUAUACAUGUACAUGCAUUCUCAUUUAUCCAAUAGUGAGUUUUUGGUUCCAUGUGAAACUACAAUUAGAAAUCUUAAACUUAUGAAAGACACACCUAUCUGUGAGGGUAAGAUGACUCAGAUGGACUUACAUGUAGUGAUCCAUGGGCAGUCCAUGGGUCUCUUUCCAUUGAUAUUGAUUAUUUAUUGAAAUAUGAAAUGGUUAUUUAACCAUAUUUGGUGUAUUAUACUGUAUAGUGAUAUAAAUUUCUAUCAAAAAAUAUGUAUAGGUAAUAGAUUUGGUCCAGUUAUUACAAGAAAUUGUAUGAAAAAUAACUAAAUAUUUAGGCAAUCAUUGUGAGUGCGAAAAGAUCAACUGCAAUAGCACACACUAUAUAUCAUUCUUAAAUGGCUCAUAGAAACUUCUAGUAUUGUGAGUUUGAAUGCUCAAUAUGGUAAUUUGGGAAUGCUUAAUCAUUUAAGGUCAAUAGUUUAUCUCUGCUGACUGUAUCUCUUAAAAUUCAUUUCUAGAAGGGAGGGGGUAGGGUUACAAAAUCUGACAUAGUUUCAGAUUAAACCUCAUUUGGUAUAUUUUUUUCUAUUCAAUAUUUUAGAUACUACUUGACUUUUUGUAAAAAUGAAAUAAAAUCAGAAAUUUUAUGAGCAGAAUUUUGUUGUUGUCAGAAAAUGUAUGCCUGAUAGUAUUUGAGAAACGCCAUAUUUAGGGUAAAUUUGGCCAAUUGCCAAGUCGAAUCAUGCCAAUGUUUUCCUUAGAUGCAUUUUGAAUUUCUAAUCCAUGUUGAUUUUUUAUCUGUUUGUGUUUAAUUUACAUAACUAUAUAUGACAAACAAUAUUUCUGGUGUCAAUAAAUUUUUUAUUGGC